UUAAAUUGAAGAGUUUGAUCAUGGCUCAGAUUGAACGCUGGCGGCAGGCCUAACACAUGCAAGUCGAACGGUAACAGGAAGCAGCUUGUUGCUU
rnacentral:rRNA from 1 species